UGGCCCUGGCCCCGCUGCUCUUUUUACCGUGCUUCCAGUCCCACCAGAGACAGGCAUGCAAGUGACAUUACUCUUCUCCACCAAAGGGGGCUCCUUAGCUUAAGCCACCUCACCACACUCUAUUCGCUCCUCAUUAUUCAUUAGCAACCCUUAAUCCUUAUGAGCAUAGGAUCUUGAAUUCUUCGUGUGAUCUUGAAUUCUUUCCCCCUUUUCUUUUCUCCUACGCGUCCUCGCGUUCCGCGGAUUUGUUUUGCGGAUCAUCCGCCGUCCUCCGUUUCCCGGUGGGAAUUAUUCACCGGAGUGGGUCCGGCGAGCCGCCCGCCCGCUGUCCCGUCUGGCUGAAAUUGGUGUCUGACAUGGGCUGACAGGGGCCACGAUGUGGGCGCGCUCCGGAGACCAGUCUCGCUGUCGCGAACCCGAAGCCCGACCGCGGACGGGACUGAGCCGACACCUGAACAUGCCGAGCGCGGCGGCUUCGCGAGACCGAGACGCCGCGCGGCGGGAUGAAAAAUGGGCAGCCGUCCAAAAGACAGACGAGUUGUAGACACAGUUAACAUAUUGAUUCUGUGUCACUGGAUCACUGUUUGAGAGCCUUCCGGUGCACUCAGUAAAGGUCCUACUGCAGGAUCUUUCGUCAGGUGUUGUUCAUAAGGUAAACUAAAGACGUGGACGCUCAGAAUUUUAAUGUAUAUACCCACAACUCAUGGAUACGCAUAAAUGCUUGGGAUUACACACAGUCGAGUUAUUUAUCGCAAAAUUUACCCGGGAUGGCAACGGAUAUUUAAAAAUAAACACAAGUUAAAUACGAAGAGCAGUAUAGCAAAAAUAUAACAUAUAGAUAUAUAACAGUGCUACAUAUUCAAAUAUGAAAAAACUAUUAAACCUAAUGCAUUAACUGUGUACCCGAUACCGAGUAUUCCUGCCUGUUAGCACAAACCGUAAACAAAAUGACCAUAAGAGGUCACCCGUGUCUCUCCACUAAUACUAAGAAAUGUUUCUGUCAGUGGUUUUAGUUUAUGUGUGGAGCAUAAAACCUGAUAAAUCUGUGAUGGCUGGACCACUAGGCUACCCCGAUUCACGCCACAAAGGAAUGUGUUUUGCUGCCAAUUUUUAAGUGUAAGUAACAACUACUUGCAAAGCUAUUAUUAUUAUUAUUAUUGUUGUUGUUGUUGUUGUCAUCGUCAUUUUGUUGUUGCGCUGUUGAUACUGCUGCUGCUUUAGUAAAAAUGGUGCUGAUUAUUUUUGCAAAUCUUUUAGUGCAAACUACAACUACUUUCAAAAAUGCCUUUUUCUGAAAAAAAUAGCCAGUCUUGCCAAACAUCAGCCAUUCAAGACCUGCCCUUCAAAUCUCAAUAUGUUCUAUAGCACUUGACUGGCUCUUAUAUUGGCACUUGUGCUGCAGACAUGACAACUCACUCAAAAUUAGCAUUGCAACUUGACUCUCACACAAUCACAUUUGUGAUUUUUACACUAGUUUCAAUUUAAGCUUGAAACAUCAAAUAUUAUUUAUGUAUCCUCAGCUACAACAAGCUCUCUUCUUCCCUAAUAAUGUUGUUUAAAGGGACACAAAAAUGCAAAAUGUAUAAUGUAAAAUAUUUACUGUGCAUCGUCUAUUCAACAACCAUUAAAUGUGAUAGUAAUGUUGAAUGAGUAUGCUGUAAGGUGUUUAUUGCAUCAUAAUGCUCUUAAUUAUUAUAAUAGUACUGAAAAUGUUUGGUGUAAAUUGUGAUUAAUCAUGCCCUUCUCACAAGGAAUAAAUAGUUUCCACAUGAAAAUUAAA